GAACUCCUUACAACAAUUUAAUCAAUUCAAUGUUAUGAAAACCCUAGAGUUCUG
rnacentral:other from 1 species